CUUGAUAAUGGCGGUCGGCUUCAGUGCAAUAUGUAUUUACAUGUAAGAUUGCUACUUUCGUUCUUACCGUUGGUCAAUGUGGCUGCGCAAACAGUGACCCUUUAUGCAGACACGUCACAUUUGUCAGCUGGGCACUCACCACAUCUGACCUGUAACCAUAACUACAACCCACUCGUCUCGUGGUGGCUAAAUGGAGUAAUAGUUCUGAGAUCGCAAGUAAACGGAGAAAAAUGCAUGAAUAGCCCAGCGCAUCCGGUAUAUCUGGCCGACUGUACGUGUGCAAACUCAGUGCACACAUGUACACUUAACGACUUGUCCUGGUCUAACGUUGGUGACCGAUGGGCGUGCUCUAUUUUAAUAGUACAAAGUCAUAUUCUGACAUUAACAUUGCCAUAAUUUAAGAGGAAAAAGCAGUGAUUGCUGGUUCAGUUGGUGGCGCUGUUGGUGGACUUAUAAUCAUCGCUGUUAUGGUCAUCAUAUUAAAACGUAGAAUAAAAGAUAUUCGAAGCGGCAGUGAUGACCAUGCUCUUGCCAGUGAUUUCUGUGAUUCCAAAAGAAAAGCCCAUAUCAUAAAUUGAAAUGACAGACAAACUAUAGAGUAUUAGUCGAUAGCAACUAUUUUACGUUAAGACCCAAUUAAUACACACAAAUCAACGAAAUUUUCGCAAAGUAUUUCGUUAAAUAAAAUUACACAAUCAAAUAUUAAUGUUCCUUAUAGCAAAAUCCAAAUUUUUUAUACCAGAUGUGUUCUGGUCACAUAAAUGUUUGUAGCUACAAAAUACUUGUUCUUAAUUUUUCGUGUCACAAUAACGCCCACGUUAAUUUCCCGCAAAUAUAUCUAUUCAUACGACACAUAAACACUAAAUACCAUUUAAGUGAACUUGUGUCGUAUGAAUAAAUAUAUUUGCGGGAAAUAAAAAUGAAAUUUAUUGUGUCACUAAACAAAUAAAAACGUGCAUUUUAUAUCUAUAAACAUCUAUAUUACCAGACCUCUUCUGGUGUUAAUUUUUCGGCUAUUGCUAUAUGGAAUACUAAUUUUUAAUUUAACUUAUUUACGAAAUAUUGUAUGCUAUUUUCAUUGAUUUGGAGUUGUAAUGGGGCUUUAAGCUUGUUAUACAAAUGAAGCAAAUAUGUGUACAGCAAAGCACUUGUGAAAAUAGAUGAAUUUAAGUUGAAUCCAUUAAAUACAUUUCCGUUGCCAUAACCUCCCAUGUCAGUGUGUCGCUACUGUGGUUUAUGCAAAAUCAAAACAUGUGUUAGGAGAUAUACGUUUUUGUGUAGUUAUUAUGCGAGUU